rnacentral:lncRNA from 1 species
CCCCAGACUCUCCAGCCAGCAGCUUCCUGGGCGGUCAGCUGAGAGCACUGGGGGGAGGGUCCUGUAAGGGCACAGGCUGGGAGGUGGCCCCAGAGCAGAGGAAGGAAAGCCCCUCCCUAGCAGCGCGCCCGCCGUGGGGCUGGGCCUGGGGCUGGGGCUGGGGGCGGGAUGGGAAGGAGCCCGGAGCCCCCACUGCAGGAAGGGCUGCGGACCAGGCCGGGCGGGGUCUCGGCAGCAGGGCCGUGGAAGCAGAGGGGACCCGCCAGAGCCCAGCGUGUCGCAGGCCGGAGCGGCGGGAAAGGGGGCUUCCUACAGGCCCCUCCUGCCCCGGGCGUGGCCGCACGUGGACGGGGGUCUGCGGGCCUGGGGGGGUGUGGGGAUCCGUGGGGGCAGGGCGGGGGCUGAGGGCUGCCCGGCACUAGCCGCCCGGCCGUGACCCCGCCCCACGCAGCCCUUAGGGCGCGAGAGGCGCCCGCGCGGCCGGCUCCCAGCGAGGAGGAUGCGCUCCCGCCCCAGCCUCCCCGCGGCCCCGGCCUCCGGAAGCCCCUUCUCUGGCUCCCGGCCUCCCGGCCUUCCGGCCUCGGGACGUCACUGCACCCUGCGCCCCUCCAGACGGCCCCGCCCCUCUGCAUCCCACCGCCGGAGGCCCCAGCCGUGGAUCCCAAUUGCUGGGCAAGGAGUCUCCCCAAAUCCUAUGCAUCUGGCAGAACCCUGACUCCAAGGCUCCGUCCUCUGGAAAGCCUUCAUCUCCCCAGUAGUCUUGCUACCCGGCGACCCUCCUGCCAUGCCGCUCUGCGGCCCAGCUCAGGGGGUGCGACACUUCUGAGCCCCAGGGAGGACUGGAAAACAGCCCUGCCCUCCGGGGUCCCCCAGGCUGGAAAGAGACAGAGCAGCACAGGGGCGGCCGGCCCCCUGCAGUCAGGGCUGAGCCGGAGGAACAGACAGGGCUUAGGGGAGCCAGGAAGGCAUGCUGGGGGGAGAAGGCAUGAGCACCGGGGCCUUGUGGGAUGAAUAGGAGUUCCGCAGGUCCGAAGGAUGAUAGCAGCAGCAGGAAUUACGUGUGUGAAACUCUGGAGGCGAGAGAGGGCGAGGCUUAGGGAAUUGCGAGGAGGCAGCUGUGGUGGGG